UAAAUCUACCCCAAACAUAAGGACCAUUUUUACCAUUUUCUCCAAAAUUUAGUAACAAAAAUAACUUGGCGCGCAGAUGCAAACCCUAGUCCGAGCUCGUCUCUCCCUUACCUCUGUGCUCGAGUUUCUCGCCGAGUUGGACAUAGAGAAAUUGAUGAUAUUAGAAGCCUUCAACAUAUUGGUUUCCUCAUGGCUGAAACAGAAUAUAUAACCAUUGAUUUUAUUGAAGUCCCUUCAUGCCCAUUGCGUUCAAAUAUUGUGAAGUUGUUAGAGGUGGAACAGAGAAGGAAAGCAAUGGGACUUGGAACUACAAGCACUCAAGGUUGUAUCUAAACUAAAGCAGCAUACCCUCUUUCUUUUCGCAUUGACAGGAGGAAUUAGCAUCUACUUAACCACCAAAAUACUGUCUGCUGUGGCCUUUGCCAUCUCUAUUCUAUUGAUGUGUUCAUUUUUGGCUGAUUCGUUCAUUCGCAUCGGCAUGGCAAAAUCAAGAAUUACAACAAUGAAUAUGCUCAUCAUGGAUUUGAUGCAAAGAUAUAAAGAUUUAAGAGAAGAAACAAGAAAUCUAAUGGAAUUUGAACGAAGCAAGAAAGGAAGGCUAGCUAAUGUUGUGGAUAACAGUGAAGGUCCUGUCAUGGACAUGGACUCUUUUAUUGCCAGAACUAAGACCAUUUAUGAUGACGCCACAGAUUUUUCUGACUUUGAGAACGCUUACCAUAAGAUGAUCUAUGUGUCUUGGGGGAUCGGAGGUAUCUUCAUUCCUGCUGUGCUGUUCAUAUCAUUUUGUAACUAUUACUACGGACAAGAUUCUCCGUCUCCUGACAAGCUGUCUUUUGCUGUUCAAGUUGUGCAUCAGUUCUAGUCGUAGUGGCAGCAGAUCAGCAUUUCCAAUAGACGAGAGAUAUAAAUACUUUUGUGGUGGCAGUGAUCUUUGAUUUUGGCUGAAAAAUGCAAAACAUUAUCAUAUCAAUUGCUGUUGGAUAUUGGGGUUGACUUAUCAGCCUGAUUCUCGACUGUAAUUACUAAUUGUUUAUGAUUUUGCCUGCUGCUGUUGUAAAUAAACGUCCCCAACUCCCGAAAACCAUACACGUUGAAAUCACUAAUAUGUUCACCGCUAAUUUGCAAUAUCUUUCCUUGUUCAUUUUCUUCAGUGUCUGUUGUGUAGCUCGUCUGGCUAAAGUUUCAGUGAUUAGUUUG